rnacentral:rRNA from 1 species
AUGAAAAUCAUCAGUUGGAACUAUCGGGGACUAGGGAAUGGCCCGGCAGUUCGCUCUCUUCUCGAGUUGGGAAGAGUGGAGGAGCCCGUUGUCCUAUUCCUGUGUGAAACAAGAUUAAGUGAGAAGGAGAUGGAAAGGUUUAGGUGGUUGUUGGGGCUUGCCAACAUGGUAGCGUGGAAGGGGGAGGGGAGUGGAAGAGGGAUAUCCUUGUUUUGGAGAAAGGAGGUGGAUGUGACCCUAAGAUCGUAUGGGAGACGACAUGUCGACGUAGAUGUUAAGCAGGAGAAUGGAGCGAUAUGGAGGUUGACGGGGGUGUACGGAGAGUCAGCCAUAGAUAAAGGAGACUUGGAAGCUCUUGAAGAUUCUAAAGAACCAGCACCAGAGAGAGAGAGAGAGAGAGAGAGAGACCAUGGCUAUGCCCGGGUGACUUCAACGAGAUACUGUCGUGUCAUGAGAAGAUAG